UCAUGGCCACUUAUUUCUAACUCUAUGACUCAUUCACCACCCCAUGUUAUAGUUCCACUUGCCUUGUAAUAUCUAGCUAUUAGUAGAAGUUAUCAGAGGGAAAAGAAGACUUGGAAAGUCUAAGGAGAACAUGGAAAGGAAAUAGAGAACUUGUGAGAAGAAGAAGAAAAGCUUGGAGAAAUCAAGAGCUUGGAAUCACCAUCAUCAUCUUCAUAUCAUCAUCUCAUCCUCAACAACUUCUCCUCUUCUAUUUCUAAGGUAGUUUCGAUCAGGAGAAGGGUAAGGACAAGAUAUCAUGAUGUCCUUGCUUUUUUGAUGUUUUGGAUGACUUUUCUGCCGUGUAGAUAUUUUGAGAUCAUUCUACAAUGAUCUAGUUCCUAGUUUUAUUUUGGGCACAUUUGUGUAUAUUUAGUGAUAUUUAGUGUUUUUUUGGGCAUGUAAUAUGUAUGCUGUUGCCACUAGGCGCUUAUGUAUUUUAGUACCAGUAUUACACAAUGUAUAAUAUGUAUUUUAGACAUAUAUUA